rnacentral:rRNA from 1 species
CGUGGGAUGAUCGAUUAGAUACCCUAGUAGUCCUUGCUGUAAAUGAUGAAUGUCAUAGACUAGAUAUUUAUUUGGUUUAUAAAUGAAAGUGUAAGCAUUCCACCUCAUGAGUAAUGUGGCAACGCAGGAACUGAAAUCAUUAGACCGUUUCUGAGAACAGUAGUGAAGUAUGUUAUUUAAUUCGAUGACCCACGUAAAACCUUACCACAACUUGAAUGUCAAACGUGAAUAAGGAAGUAAAAAUAAAGCCAACUAACCAUUGGAUGCAUGCUUGAUAACACACCUUUUUUUUUAGCGUUUACGCUCGUUUACGCUCGUUUACGCUCGUUUACGCUAAAGAAAAAAGUGUAAUGCAAGAGAGAGCCUUAGGUAGUUAGCCAGGGAAAUGUUGCAAUACAUUUCAAUGUCAAAUUAGACAUGGGUAACCUGUUAAUGUUGAAAUACAUUACGUUUACGUGUAGCCUAAAAAACUACAUUUACCUGGAAGAUGUUGAAAUACAUUUAAAUGUAGAAAUACAUUUGACACGGUUGAUACACGCGUUGCACGGUUGUCUUUAGCUAAUGUCGUGAGAUUUUGGUUAGCUCCAUAAAAUUAGCGUAAACCCCGGUUCUAUUUAAAAAAAUUAAUAAUACAAUAAUAUUAUUAUUGUGAUAGAGCAGUUCAUCACUAUAUUGAAUACAUAAAGAGAUAACAGGGACGAUGACAAAUCAUCAUGGCCUGAAUGUUGUGGGUUGAAGGGCCCCAAAUAUAUUAAA